UCCUUCAUGUGCGGAUCACAAGUGAAUGUUCAGAUAUGAAGACGUCUCGUGUUCUGCUGUUUGUUUUCAUUUGUUUGUUUGUUUCGUUACAGCAGUCCAGUCAAACAGACUCCGGCUCUUUUCUGAUCUACAACAAGGAUCACAACAAAUGUGUGAAUGUGGUUAAUGCCAAUGUGGUGCAGACGGCAGCGUGUGACGUCUCUUCUGAUGCUCAGCGUUUCCGAUGGGUUUCAUCUUCAAGAAUCAUCAGUGUCUCUCUUAAAUUAUGCUUAGGAGCUCAAGACAUCAAAAACUGGGCGAAAAUUAUUCUUCUGCCCUGUAAAGAACACAGUCCUUUACAGACCUGGGAAUGUAAGAACGAGACCUUGUUUGGAUUAAAAGAUCAACCGUUACACCUGAACUACGGCAAUCGAGAGGAAAAGAAUAUGGUGCUGUUUAGUGGAAGUGGUGGUUGGAGUCACUGGCAGAUUUAUGGGAGUCAAGACGAUCUGUGUUCUCAUGGAUAUCAAGAGAUGUAUACUCUGGCUGGGAAUUCAUUUGGAAAACCAUGUCAGUUCCCCUUUAAGUUUAAUGACAAGUGGUUUGCCGAGUGUAUCGUGGAGGGAAGAUCAGAUGGCCAACCGUGGUGUUCAACUGAGACAGAUUAUAACACGGACAAGAAAUGGGGCUUCUGUCCAACCAAAGGCGUGUCAGGAUGGGACAGUGAUCCAGUCAGUGGUGUUUUGUAUCAGAGGAACACACAGUCAGUAUUGACGUGGCAUCAAGCUCGAACCAGCUGCCAACAGCAAGAUGCAGAUCUUCUCAGUAUAUCAGAACUCCACGAGCACUCGUAUAUAGCAGGUCUGACAGAUCACAUGGGUUCAGUUCUAUGGAUCGGUCUGAACAGUCUUGACUUUGAGAGCGGCUGGCAAUGGAGUAAUGGAAACCCAUUCAGAUAUCUCAACUGGGCUCCUGGUCACCCGUCUCUGGAGCCGGGUCUGAACUGUGCUGCAUUAAACGCUGCUAAAGCCUCAAAGUGGGAAAGUUUGUCCUGCAGUAAGAAGUUGGGCUACAUCUGCCGCAAGGGCAAUUCAACAGAGAUCACACCUUCAACAGGUAAAGAUCAGCCGAUCUUCUGUCCAGCGGCGUGGGUGCCGUACGCCGGUCACUGUUAUUAUCUGCAGCGCUCUCAGAAGAUGUGGAGCGACGCUUUGGCAGCGUGUCAUAAAGAAGGAUCAGAUCUGGCCAGCAUACACAACAUCGAGGAGCACAGUUUCAUCAUAUCACAGAGUGGAUACUUGUCCAGUGAUGAGCUGUGGAUUGGUCUUAAUGAUCAGAACAUUCAGAAUCUGUUUGAGUGGUCAGAUAGAAAACACGUCAGCUUCACCAGAUGGAUUGUUGGAGAACCUUCACACAUCAACAGUCGCAUGGAGGAUUGUGUGCUUAUGAAGGGAAAGGAGGGAAAGUGGGCAGAUGAAGCGUGUGAAGCAGCUCAUGGUUACAUCUGUAAGAAGAAAGCUUCCAUUAAACCUGAAGGAUCCACACACAUGAUCAGUCCUGGAUGUCCUGCUGGUUGGUUCAGGUUUGGCUAUUACUGUUAUAAUGUUGCCAUGGAAACCAAAACUUUUGAUGAUGCCAAACUGACAUGCGAGCAGAGCGCAGCGAGGCUGGUGGAUGUUGCCAGCAGGUAUGAGAAUGCGUUUCUCAUCAGUCUGGUUGGUCUUCGGCCUGAGAAAUAUUUCUGGAUUGGUCUCUCUAAUACUCAACAGUUGGCGCUCUUCCAGUGGACUGAUGGUGUUAAAGUCAAGUUUACACACUUUAAUGUCGGCAUGCCAGGUAGGCACCAGGGUUGCGUGGCAAUGUUAACAGGAUCUUCAGCAGGAUUAUGGGAUGUUCUGGCCUGUAACACUAAACAGAAAUACUUCUGUAAGAAAAUGGCAGAAGGAAUCACUAUAACCCCAGAGCCUCCAACCACACAACCUCCCAGCUGCCCAAAAGACUGGAUUAAAAAAGAUCCACACAACUGCAUUCAGCUUUAUAAAAGGCAGACGGACGAAAAGAAGACUUGGUUUGAGGCUCGGGAUUUCUGUCGAGCUGUCGGUGGUGAUUUAGCAAGCUUCCACUCCGAAGAAGAAAUAAAAGUGUUACCGCAUUCCAGCACUGACCCGGCGUGGAUUGGCUUCACUUCACUGGACAGUAAUUCUGGUUUUGUUUGGUCAGAUCAAACUCCUUCUGAUUAUGAAAACUGGGGCUUCGGAGAACCAAACAACCAUAAUGAUCAGGAACACUGUGCAGAAUCUGCUUUUUAUUUUGGACGCAGGUGGAAUGAUCGAGACUGUGAAUCUUAUAGCGACUGGAUCUGUCAGAUUCCAAUAGGAAUCACUCCCAAAUCUCCACCGACCACAGUGAUUCAAGAAUACAACAAGACUUCUGAUGGCUGGAUCGUGUUCAAUGGCAGUCAGUACUUUAUUAAUACUGAUCAGCAUCCUAUGGAAGAAGCUCGAGCUUUCUGUAAGAAGAAUCAUGCUGAUCUUGCCGUCAUGACUGGUGAAACCGAGAGGAAGUUUAUAUGGAAGCAGAUAUCUAGAGGAUCAGAAUCUCAGUUCUACAUUGGUUUGAUUGUAGAGCUGGACAAAUCAUUUAGUUGGGUGGACGGUUCACCUGUUGUUUACACUGCCUGGGAUAACAAUGAACCAAAUUUUGCCAACAAUGACGAGAACUGUGUGACCAUUUAUAAAAGCAUGGGAUUCUGGAAUGAUAUCAACUGUGGCCUGCCAUUGUCCUCUAUCUGUAAAAGAAGUUCAGAUUUUGUCAACACCACCAGUUCUCCAUCUACUGUAGCGGCGGGCGGCUGUGCUCCGGAAUGGACGCGUUUCCGCGGAAAAUGUUAUAAGUUUUUUGAUAAUAAGAUGACGUGGCAUGACGCACGAGAUCGUUGCAUUUCACAUGGAGGUAAUCUGGUGUCCAUCCAGAGUCACACAGAGCAAUCAUUUCUCACAACUCUGAUGCUCAGUUCUGCUGAUGACGUGUGGACGGGAUUGAACGACGUCAAUUGGGAGAUGCACUUUAUGUGGACUGAUGGAAGAAGCGUCAGAUACACAAACUGGAUGAAAGGUCAACCCUCGUCAUGGCCUCAUUCAAGACAUUUCAAAAGGGAAACAAGUCUGCAAACUCUUAAUGUCGGCAGUUGGGAGAGAUUAAUUGAACGUUCGUAUAUGUUUGAAGAGCAGAACUAUGACUGCGUUGUCAUGACUAGAAGUCCAGAGAAGUUGACCGGUAUGUGGAAAGUUGAAGUGUGUAAAGAUGAGAGAGGUUUCAUCUGCAAGAGGAACACGGACUCUCAGCUGUCUGCUCCCGUGACCACAGCAGUGCCGCAGAGAUUCUUCAGUCUGGGCAACGAUUCAUACAAGGUGCAGCAGGUGAAGAUGAGCUGGGAUGAAGCCAGAAGAGAGUGUAAAGCAGAUGAUGCUGAUCUUGCUAGUGUGCUGGACUCCAUCAGUCAGGCGUACAGCAGCCUCAGAGUCGACACCAUCAGAGAACCUUUGUGGAUCGGCCUCAACAGCAACCUGACAGGUGGACGGUAUCGCUGGGUGGAUAACUGGCUUCUAAGCUACAGUAAAUGGGCCGCAGGAGAACCCAGAAACAAUUUAGCUUGUGUUUAUAUCGACACGGAUGGCGACUGGAAAACUGCAGCGUGCAACAACACAUAUUAUUCCCUCUGCAAACGAUCAAAAGUUAUUGCCCCCACAGAUCCUCCUCAGCUGCCGGGUAACUGCCCCGAAUCAAAGAAGCGUAAAGGUUGGAUCCCAUUUAGAGGACACUGUUAUACAUUCAUGACCUCCAUGAGAGAAACCUGGGCUCAUGCCACAGUUGAAUGUAUGAGAAUGGGUGCAUCUUUAGUCAAUAUUGAGGACCCAAUAGAAUCAAAGUUUAUCCGUGAGAAUCUGGAGAUCCUUCAAGAUGAAGUCGGCUCAAUCUGGAUCGGAAUGCACCGCAGUCAUACGGGUGAAUGGAUGUGGAUUGAUAGUUCGGUUGUGGAUUACACGAACUGGAAACCGCGGAUGCCAAAUAACGUUGGUGACUGUGUGGAAGUUCAGUCAAACACUGGAAUGUGGAGCAACAGCAACUGUAAUAAUCGCAGAGCUUAUAUCUGCAAGACUGCUAAAGUCAUACCACCAACAGAGAAGCCGUCAGUGUCAGAGCGUCAUGUAGAAGAGACGUCUCACGGUUCGGCUGGCAUCGCUGUAGGGGUGGUGUUGAUCAUCAUCGCUGUUGCAGGUGUUUCCGGCUUUCUGUUCUUUAAAAGAAUUCCCAGACCUGUGAUUGGACAGCGUGCAUUUGACAACAGACUCUAUAGCAAUUCUGAUCUGUCACGACCGCCUACAACUAUUGAUACUAAAGGACUCGUCGCCAACAUUGAACAAAAUGAACACGCUUAAUGCAUAAACACACAUAUAUAGUUCUCAUUGUAAAUGUAGCCAGUUUAAAAUAAAGUUUGACAACAUGUCAGCAGUUCAGUAGGUUGAUGUAGUGUUGCGUAUCUGGAAUGAGUAUCAGAGAACCCACAAUGUGCUCAUAAACUUGUAUCGGUUUUAUAAAGCUUGUUUUGUAUUGUAAAUGGUAUAUUUUAUGUUUUAUCGCUUAUAACAGCUAACAAUAAUUGAGUUUUACUGUUUUAUCUAGAACACUCCCAGUGAUUUAAGAUUAUGGGAUGGUUAUAAUUUUUUCUCUGGUGGCAUUUUAGCACUUUAGGCGUUUAUUUGUAGCAGUGAACUGAUACGAUUUAAAUGAAUUUCUUACAAGAUUUUCAACAGAAAAGAUGCAAAUGUCUUAUAAAUCACGAGAAAAGUAUUCUGUAAAAGCGUUUUUCUAAUGGACCUCUUAGUGGGAAUUGUGGUAAUGUGUUUGAGUAGAUGUAGUCUCAAUGUCCAAGGCUUUUUAUUGAGAAAGUUUUGCAUAUUGUGACUGUGUUUUUGUUAAGGUUUGUGCACUGGUUUAUCUAAGGAAUCGUCAGAGUCCAGUAGACCAGAGGACACCUGGUUUUACAGAGAGAGAAAGUGAGCGAUCUCCUCUUAACACUUCAAUAUCCAGAACACACUGCGGCGACCCAGAACCUCUGUCAACAUGUGUCAAAUACCACAGCCCGUCCUCCUCUGACAUUACAGUCAAUGUGUUAAAUGUGAUUUUUAACAUAAUUAACGUUACCUGCAGAAAUAUUGAAUCUAGAGGAUGAUGUUAUAUUAGAUCUUACAAAAUAAAGUUUUGCAUC